GACGAACCGUGCGAACGUUAUUCGGAAUCAUUGGGCGUAAAGCGCACGUAGGCGGUUCGUUAUGUCGGAUGUGAAAGCCCUUGGCUUAACCGAGGAAGUGCAUCCGAAACUGGCGAGCUAGAGUACGAAAGAGGAUCGCGGAAUUCCCGGUGUAGCGGUGAAAUGCGCAGAUAUCAGGAGGAACACCGAUGGCGAAGGCAGAUCUCUGGGCCGUAACUGACGCUGAGGAGCGAAAGCAUGGGGAGCGAACAGG
rnacentral:rRNA from 1 species